rnacentral:rRNA from 1 species
UACGGGGGGGGCAAGCGUUGUUCGGAAUUACUGGGCGUAAAGGGCUCGUAGGCGGCCAACUAAGUCAGACGUGAGAUCCCUCGGCUUAACCGGGGAACUGCGUCUGAUACUGGAUGGCUUGAGAUUGGGAGAGGGAUGCGGAAUUCCAGGUGUAGCGGUGAAAUGCGUAGAUAUCUGGAGGAACACCGGUGGCGAAGGCGACAUCCUGGACCAACACUGACGCUGAGGAGCGAAAGCCAGGGGAGCAAACGGG